rnacentral:lncRNA from 10 species
UUUGGGAUGGGCACAUGACCAAGUUGGUCCAAUCGGAGCCAACCCAGGGACAUUUUCCUGGAGCGGCUGGGAAAGAGGAGUCUCUCGAAAUUCAGCAACUGCUAACAGCGAGGAGGGGUUUUGAAAGGUAAAGGCCAUUAGCUUGGAGGCAGAAGACAGACCUCCCUGACUGCUGAAUUCCUGCCGGCCUGAAAUUGGAGCAUUCCAAGCUCCUCAGAUGAGUCAUAAGCCACCAAGAUUGUGAGCCUCUGGAUACAGAAAAGGAGAAGAAGACCACAUGCAUACCCACAAGAAGAUGGAGGCAGAGACUGGAGUGAAGAAGCCACAAGCCAAGGAAUGGCUGGAGCCACCAGGAGCUGAAAGAGGCAACGAAGGAUCCUCCCCUGGAGACUUCAGAGGGAGCAUGGCCCUGCUGACACCUUGAUUUUGGAUUUCUGGCCCCCAGAACCAUGAGAGAAUAAAUUUCUGUUGUGUUAAGCCAC